UAUAACUGCGCUUUUGUUUUGUUUUUUACCACCUGCUCGAUUCCGCCUCCGAAACCAGCACAGACGCACCUGUCCUUUACUCUGAUUGGUGGAGAGCCAGGAUCGGUCACGUGGUACGCAGACAGGUGGGGAGCAUUCUUAAGGUUUCUAAGCGAGCCCAACCCUUUACUACAAUGUAGCUGCCAUGGCUCAGCCCUAUGCAGGAGUUUGGAGAAACAGCACUUUGAAGGCCUCUGUGACGUUGCCUGCUCUGUUCAAUCUCAUUGUGAAGCUGCAGCACGAUGUUUGUGAGUCACAGCACGCUUACAAUGCUUCUGACCCAGAGGAACCUCUUCCAGGAUCCAGUGGGCAUGAGGGCUGGAUUCUGAUUGGUUGUGACUGAAGCCCACAGCAUGGCAGAAUGCAGGGAGUGGGCUUGGAGGUGGAGAUGGACAGAGGCCACAGAGCUGACUGUUGACCUACAGAUCAAAUCAUCUAAAACAGAUCUUUACUUCCUUCAUGUGUCUGCUCUUCGUUUUAAAUGCUGGAGAAAUGUGUAUCCGAUUUCCACAACCUGUUCAUCUUCUGUACAUCCCACCAGGAGCUUCCUCAUACUUACUUCAUUACUUACUACUGAAGCUAUUCAUGAGAUUAAUGAGAGUGUGUGUGUGUGUGUGUGUGUGUGUGUGUGUAACAGAAACACACAGCAGUAUAAAUGCCCAGGAGGGGAUUAGCUCUGUACCACCCAGGAGUGGAAUUUCUCUAACAAAGAUCGGAGUGUAUUAAAGGUCUGAUUGUGUCCCUCGUUGUCUGGAGAACCCGAGCAGAUCAUCAAGGUGUGCAGUGACCAUGGUGUGAUUGUGUAUACAUGACUCAUUAGAGACAUUCUCUUACUGCAGGUGAAGAGCGUUUCCUAUGAGCUCCUUCAUCUCAUACACACAUAUUUAUGGCUCAGGAUUUCAUCAUAAAUGUUCAUCACUCACCAAUAAACAGAAAACUGAGAACA